rnacentral:rRNA from 1 species
GACAAGACUGACGCUCAGGUGCGAAGCGUGGGGAGCAAACAGGAUUAGAUACCUGGUAGUCCACGCUGUAAACGAUGUCGAUUUGGAGGUUGUUCCCUUGAGGAGUGGCUUCCGGAGCUAACGCGUUAAAUCGACCGCCUGGGGAGUACGGCCGCAAGGUUAAAACUCAAAUGAAUUGACGGGGGCCCGCACAAGCGGUGGAGCAUGUGGUUUAAUUCGAUGCAACGCGAAGAACCUUACCUACUCUUGACAUCCAGAGAAUUUAGCAGAGAUGCUUUAGUGCCUUCGGGAACUCUGAGACAGGUGCUGCAUGGCUGUCGUCAGCUCGUGUUGUGAAAUGUUGGGUUAAGUCCCGCAACGAGCGCAACCCUUAUCCUUUGUUGCCAGCACAUUAUGGUGGGAACUCAAAGGAGACUGCCGGUGAUAAACCGGAGGAAGGUGGGGAUGACGUCAAGUCAUCAUGGCCCUUACGAGUAGGGCUACACACGUGCUACAAUGGCGUAUACAAAGAGAAGCGACCUCGCGAGAGCAAGCGGAACUCAUAAAGUACGUCGUAGUCCGGAUUGGAGUCUGCAACUCGACUCCAUGAAGUCGGAAUCGCUAGUAAUCGUAGAUCAGAAUGCUACGGUGAAUACGUUCCCGGGCCUUGUACACACCGCCCGUCACACCAUGGGAGUGGGUUGCAAAAGAAGUAGGUAGCUUAACCUUCGGGAGGGCGCUUACCACUUUGUGAUUCAUGACUGGGGUGAAGUCGUAACAAGGUAACCA